rnacentral:rRNA from 1 species
GAUGAACGCUGGCGGCGUGCCUAAUACAUGCAAGUCGAGCGAACGGACGAGAAGCUUGCUUCUCUGAUGUUAGCGGCGGACGGGUGAGUAACACGUGGAUAACCUACCUAUAAGACUGGGAUAACUUCGGGAAACCGGAGCUAAUACCGGAUAAUAUUUUGAACCGCAUGGUUCAAAAGUGAAAGACGGUCUUGCUGUCACUUAUAGAUGGAUCCGCGCUGCAUUAGCUAGUUGGUAAGGUAACGGCUUACCAAGGCAACGAUGCAUAGCCGACCUGAGAGGGUGAUCGCCCACACUGGAACUGAGACGCGGUCCAGACUCCUAAGGGAGGCAGCAGUAGGGAAUCUUCCGCAAUGGGCGAAAGCCUGACGGAGCAGCGCCGCGUGAGUGAUGAAGAUCUUCGGAUCGUAAAGCUCUGUUAUUAGGGGAGAACAUAUGUGUAAGUAACUGUACACAUCUUGACGGUACCUAAUCAGAAAGCCACGGCUAACUACGUG